AGUGAACGCUGGCAGUAGGCCUAACACAUGCAAGUCGAACGGCAGCACAGUAAGAGCUUGCUCUUACGGGUGGCGAGUGGCGGACGGGUGAGGAAUACAUUGGAAUCUACUUUUUCGUGGGGGAUAACGUAGGGAAACUUACGCUAAUACCGCAUACGACCUACGGGUGAAAGCAGGGGAUCUUCGGACCUUGCGCGAUUGAAUGAGCCGAUGUCGGAUUAGCUAGUUGGCGGGGUAAAGGCCCACCAAGGCGACGAUCCGUAGCUGGUCUGAGAGGAUGAUCAGCCACACUGGAACUGAGACACGGUCCAGACUCCUACGGGAGGCAGCAGUGGGGAAUAUUGGACAAUGGGCGCAAGCCUGAUCCAGCCAUACCGCGUGGGUGAAGAAGGCCUUCGGGUUGUAAAGCCCUUUUGUUGGGAAAGAAAAGCAGCAGGUUAAUACCCCGCUGUUCUGACGGUACCCAAAGAAUAAGCACCGGCUAACUUCGUG
rnacentral:rRNA from 1 species